GUGAGUAGUUCAGAGUUUGAUCCUGGCUCAGGACGAACGCUGGCGGCAUGCCUAACACAUGCAAGUCGAACGGAACUUGUUGAAUGAAGUUUUCGGAUUGGAUUUUGGUCAAGUUUAGUGGCGGACGGGUGAGUAACGCGUGAGCAACCUGCCUUUCAGAGGGGGACAACAGUUGGAAACGACUGCUAAUACCGCAUGAUGUAUUUUAACCGCAUGGUUUUAAUACCAAAGAUUAUAUCGCUGAAAGAUGGGCUCGCGUACGAUUAGAUAGUUGGUGAGGUAACGGCUCACCAAGUCGACGAUCGUUAGCCGGACUGAGAGGUUGAACGGCCACAUUGGGACUGAGACACGGCCCAG
rnacentral:rRNA from 1 species